rnacentral:ncRNA from 1 species
ACAAAUGCAAUGAACGGAAGUAGUAAGCCGCGAAAUUUCUACAGAGAGCUGCCGGAUGGUGUGAGGCAGCGGAAGGAAGCCGCCGAACUGGUCCGGGAGCAGCCUGUUGAAAGAAGUGUUUUUGAAUGAAAGAAGUGUUUUUGAAUACCCGAGUAGGCAGAGCCGGUCAUCCGCCGUUACAGGACGAUGAGGAGCACACGGAUUCCGUGUGAAAUAGAGUGGUACCGCGCAGUUGGAAUUUUCGCCCUGCGUCUCUAU